AAAUUGAAGAGUUUGAUCAUGGCUCAGAUUGAACGCUGGCGGCAGGCCUAACACAUGCAAGUCGAACGGUAACAGGAAGCAGCUUGCUGCUUUGCUGACGAGUGGCGGACGGGUGAGUAAUGUCUGGGAAACUGCCUGAUGGAGGGGGAUAACUACUGGAAACGGUGGCUAAUACCGCAUAACGUCGCAAGACCAAAGAGGGGGACCUUCGGGCCUCUUGCCAUCAGAUGUGCCCAGAUGGGAUUAGCUUGUUGGUGAGGUAACGGCUCACCAAGGCGACGAUCCCUAGCUGGUCUGAGAGGAUGACCAGCCACACUGGAACUGAGACACGGUCCAGACUCCUACGGGAGGCAGCAGUGGGGAAUAUUGCACAAUGGGCGCAAGCCUGAUGCAGCCAUGCCGCGUGUAUGAAGAAGGCCUUCGGGUUGUAAAGUACUUUCAGCGGGGAGGAAGGUGUUGUGGUUAAUAACCGCAGCAAUUGACGUUACCCGCAGAAGAAGCACCGGCUAACUCCGUGCCAGCAGCCGCGGUAAUACGGAGGGUGCAAGCGUUAAUCGGAAUUACUGGGCGUAAAGCGCACGCAGGCGGUCUGUCAAGUCGGAUGUGAAAUCCCCGGGCUCAACCUGGGAACUGCAUUCGAAACUGGCAGGCUUGAGUCUUGUAGAGGGGGGUAGAAUUCCAGGUGUAGCGGUGAAAUGCGUAGAGAUCUGGAGGAAUACCGGUGGCGAAGGCGGCCCCCUGGACAAAGACUGACGCUCAGGUGCGAAAGCGUGGGGAGCAAACAGGAUUAGAUACCCUGGUAGUCCACGCCGUAAACGAUGUCUACUUGGAGGUUGUGCCCUUGAGGCGUGGCUUCCGGAGCUAACGCGUUAAGUAGACCGCCUGGGGAGUACGGCCGCAAGGUUAAAACUCAAAUGAAUUGACGGGGGCCCGCACAAGCGGUGGAGCAUGUGGUUUAAUUCGAUGCAACGCGAAGAACCUUACCUGGUCUUGACAUCCACAGAACUUUCCAGAGAUGGAUUGGUGCCUUCGGGAACUGUGAGACAGGUGCUGCAUGGCUGUCGUCAGCUCGUGUUGUGAAAUGUUGGGUUAAGUCCCGCAACGAGCGCAACCCUUAUCCUUUGUUGCCAGCGGUCCGGCCGGGAACUCAAAGGAGACUGCCAGUGAUAAACUGGAGGAAGGUGGGGAUGACGUCAAGUCAUCAUGGCCCUUACGACCAGGGCUACACACGUGCUACAAUGGCGCAUACAAAGAGAAGCGACCUCGCGAGAGCAAGCGGACCUCAUAAAGUGCGUCGUAGUCCGGAUUGGAGUCUGCAACUCGACUCCAUGAAGUCGGAAUCGCUAGUAAUCGUGGAUCAGAAUGCCACGGUGAAUACGUUCCCGGGCCUUGUACACACCGCCCGUCACACCAUGGGAGUGGGUUGCAAAAGAAGUAGGUAGCUUAACCUUCGGGAGGGCGCUUACCACUUUGUGAUUCAUGACUGGGGUGAAGUCGUAACAAGGUAACCGUAGGGGAACCUGCGGUUGGAUCACCUCCUUACCUUAAAGAA
rnacentral:rRNA from 12 species